rnacentral:rRNA from 1 species
UACGGGAGGCAGCAGUGGGGAAUAUUGCACAAUGGGCGCAAGCCUGAUGCAGCCAUGCCGCGUGUAUGAAGAAGGCCUUCGGGUUGUAAAGUACUUUCAGUCGUGAGGAAGGUGUUAAGGUUAAUAACCUUAGCAAUUGACGUUAGCGACAGAAGAAGCACCGGCUAACUCCGUGCCAGCAGCCGCGGUAAUACGGAGGGUGCGAGCGUUAAUCGGAAUUACUGGGCGUAAAGGGCACGCAGGCGGUUAAUUAAGUUGGAUGUGAAAUCCCCGGGCUUAACCUGGGAAUGGCAUUCAAGACUGGUUAGCUAGAGUCUUGUAGAGGGGGUAGAAUUCCAUGUGUAGCGGUGAAAUGCGUAGAGAUGUGGAGGAUACCGGUGGCGAAGGCGGCCCCUGGACAAAGACUGACGCUCAUGUGCGAAAGCGUGGGGAGCAAAC